GCAUAUCAAUAAGCGGAGGAAAAGAAACUAACAAGGAUUCCCCUAGUAACUGCGAGUGAAGCGGGAAAAGCUCAAAUUUAAAAUCUGGCGGUCUUAUGGCUGUCCGAGUUGUAAUCUGGAGAAGUGUUUUCCGCGUCGGACCGUGUACAAGUCUCCUGGAACGGAGCGUCAUAGAGGGUGAGAAUCCCGUCCAUGACACGGACCGCCGAUGCUUUGUGAUACACUCUCGAAGAGUCGAGUUGUUUGGGAAUGCAGCUCAAAAUGGGUGGUAAAUUCCAUCUAAAGCUAAAUAUUGGCGAGAGACCGAUAGCGAACAAGUACCGUGAGGGAAAGAUGAAAAGCACUUUGGAAAGAGAGUUAAACAGUACGUGAAAUUGUUGAAAGGGAAACGCUUGAAGUCAGUCGCGUCUUUCAGAACUCAGCCUUGCUUCGGCCUGGUGUACUUUCUGUUAGACGGGUCAACGUCAAUUUCGAUCGGCGGAGAAAGGUUGAGGGAAUGUAGCGUUGUUUCGGCGACGUGUUAUAGCCCUCUUCUGUAUACGUCGGCUGGGAUUGAGGACCGCAGCGCGCCUUUAUGGCCAGGGGUUCGCCCCAUGUAMCGCGCUUAGGAUGUUGGCAUAAUGGCUUUAAGCGACCCGUCUUGAAACACGGACCAAGGAGUCUAACAUGCUUGCGAGUAUUCGGGUGGAAAACCCUUGUGCGUAAUGAAAGUAAAAGUUGGGAGCCUCCGCGAGGGGGUGCACCGACGCCCGGCCCUGACGUUCUCUGACGGUGCUGCGGUAGAGCAAGUAUGUUGGGACCCGAAAGAUGGUGAACUAUGCCUGAAUAGGGCGAAGCCAGAGGAAACUCUGGUGGAGGCUCGUAGCGAUUCUGACGUGCAAAUCGAUCGUCAAAUUUGGGUAUAGGGGCGAAAGACUAAUCGAACCAUCUAGUAGCUGGUUCCUGCCGA
rnacentral:rRNA from 1 species